rnacentral:rRNA from 1 species
AUUGAACGCUGGCGGCAUGCCUUACACAUGCAAGUCGAACGGUAACGCGGGGCAACCUGGCGACGAGUGGCGAACGGGUGAGUAAUGUAUCGGAACGUGCCCAGUUGUGGGGGAUAACUGCUCGAAAGAGCAGCUAAUACCGCAUACGACCUGAGGGUGAAAGCGGGGGAUCGCAAGACCUCGCGCAAUUGGAGCGGCCGAUAUCAGAUUAGGUAGUUGGUGGGGUAAAGGCUCACCAAGCCAACGAUCUGUAGCUGGUCUGAGAGGACGACCAGCCACACUGGGGCUGAGACACGGCCCAGACUCCUACGGGAGGCAGCAGUGGGGAAUUUUGGACAAUGGACGCAAGUCUGAUCCAGCCAUGCCGCGUGCGGGAAGAAGGCCUUCGGGUUGUAAACCGCUUUUGUCAGGGAAGAAACGCUCUGGGUUAAUACCUCGGGGUAAUGACGGUACCUGAAGAAUAAGCACCGGCUAACUACGUGCCAGCCGCCGCCGUAAAAC